rnacentral:ncRNA from 1 species
AAAAAAACAAUGAUGGAAAAAAGUAAUUUGGAUUAUCUAAAUUAGAGAGCAAGUGUCGUUGGCUGAAAACACUUGAUUAGAAAACCAAAUGAAUGUUCACUUCCUGAGUUGACUUUGGGAAUUACACUAAGCUAGUUAAAAGUAAUGAAUAAAGUUCCGGUCUACGCCGUUAUGUAAAUGAAGUGUGGAUUUAGCGUAUGCUCAAUUCAAACAAGGGUGGUACCGCGAAUGUAGCCUCGUCCCUUUU